UGGAGAGUUUGAUCCUGGCUCAGAACGAACGCUGGCGGCAGGCUUAACACAUGCAAGUCGAACGCCCCGCAAGGGGAGUGGCAGACGGGUGAGUAACGCGUGGGAAUCUACCGUGCCCUGCGGAAUAGCUCCGGGAAACUGGAAUUAAUACCGCAUACGCCCUACGGGGGAAAGAUUUAUCGGGGUAUGAUGAGCCCGCGUUGGAUUAGCUAGUUGGUGGGGUAAAGGCCUACCAAGGCGACGAUCCAUAGCUGGUCUGAGAGGAUGAUCAGCCACAUUGGGACUGAGACACGGCCCAAACUCCUACGGGAGGCAGCAGUGGGGAAUAUUGGACAAUGGGCGCAAGCCUGAUCCAGCCAUGCCGCGUGAGUGAUGAAGGCCUUAGGGUUGUAAAGCUCUUUCACCGGAGAAGAUAAUGACGGUAUCCGGAGAAGAAGCCCCGGCUAACUUCGUGCCAGCAGCCGCGGUA
rnacentral:rRNA from 5 species